GUUUUAAAAGUGAUGCCUAAUGUAUUUAGAGGCAAAAACCUGACAAUUGAUAACCCUCUUUUUCCCGAAAGAAAACUUACACUUAGUGAUUUUUUUUUUAAUUCCCUCCAAAGGUCAUCACUCACCUCGUGAAGAAACCCUCUCACCACUCACCAUCGCCACUGACCACUCACCAUCGCGCCGAAACCCUCUCACCAUCACGAAGAAACCCACUUAUCACCACCCACCACUGACCGUCACUCCUGUUCGCCCUCAUCUAUGCGCUUCUCACCUUCGCCAACCUUGUUGCACACAACCCUCACCUUCGUCAUUCUCACCGUCGUUGAUGACCGUCGCUGUUGUUGCGCUGACCAUCGCUUUUCUUCUCAGUUCUACCCUAAUCGUCUUCUCCGUGCCCUAAUCGCUGAUGACGGUCGUUGUUCUGACCAUCGCUGUUGCUGCGCCACCGUCACCAUGAUCAUCUCCGUGCUUCUCAUCAUCGUCUUCACUGUGCUCACAUCGUUGAAUAUAUUGAAGCAGCAAUAACCAAGGAUGAGCUUCAGCACCUCGCUUUGCUGUUCAAAUCUGAAUUUGAUUCAAUUGGUCAAAUCACUGCUGGAGUUUUGCGGCUGCUUAAGCUGGAAGGUUCUGUUGGUCAGGCUAUAAUAGAUCAACUUGGUAACCUAGGCUAUCUUCAACGGGUAGUGUGAAGUCAUUGCUUUGUGAAAUAGCCUACAUGAACAACUCUGGAACAUUAGUUUAAUUUGCAACCUCUCUUUCUCCGGAGAAAUUGAGCACAUUGAGAUCUUCAGGUACCAUGGCUCCAUUAUCGUCAAUUCCUUGUUUUCCUUUUAUAGUUAAAGUGCUUCAAACGUAGCUCUUGAACUAGAUGUAUACUUUUAGUGUUAGUCUUUUGAGUGCUUCUUUCAUUUUUUAAAAAUAAAAUAUCCUAUACAUCGGGAGUGGUAUAGACCCAUGCAAUUAUUAAAGUAGAAAAGAUAAUACUACCCGAAGAUAAAAGCAAAAGGAAAAGAAUUCACGAAGGAAAAAAAAUCAGGUAACAUCCUCCAUUUGACACACUAUUAUAUAUUUUCAUAACUCUACUUUAUUUUCCUUUUCUGAUAUGAAAAAAAAGGUUGCUAAGGACAGGGCUAGCUGUGUGCAGUUGUGUCAUUAUAUGGAAAAAGUUUGUUGACUAUCACAGGAAAUUUAGAUGCAGAAUUCAAUGAUAAAUUAAUCACAGUAGAACAUAGUAGCUGUGCACUAAAAUAUUGGAGAUUUUUUUGGUCUGGACUAAUAUAUAGAUUUCUGACCUGUUUUUAUUACUACUAUUACCAAAUGAUAAACUAUCAAAAUGAUUGAAUCUUUUCAAAUGCAGAUUAUAGUUUACAGAAUAAUAAAGAGUAGUAACAUUAAAGUCUAACUUGUCUAAAUUUUGAUUAAGUACAAAUCUUCAUUCUUAUUUCUUCUUCUUAUUAUUCCGACUGUUGUUGUUGUUAACGGUUAAGUGGUGUAUUAUCCAAUCUGUGAGCAGGUAAAUUUUGAUGUGCAAGUGGAUCAAUCAUAUCAUCAAGAAAAAAAGAGCUAUAUAGACAAAAGGCUUUCACUAAAAAACAAAAAAGAAACAGGGAGUCCAACUCCAGCAUCAGCACUAAAGCUAGACAAGCUUCUCUAUGAUUAGGUGCUAGUCCUAAUCAUGUUCUAUAUGUUGCUGCUGCAUGUAGUAGUAGUAGUUGGAGGAGUAAUAAUUCAAGAUUGGCUUGUGUAGGUGAGUUCAACUUUUCAAAUGUGAAGAGAAUAGAAAAACUUUGUGGCAACAGUUCUGAUUUUGGCAUUGUGGUCGGAGUGAGAGCUCAGCUGUGGUAAUGGUUACCGCGCCAAUGUUAAACAUGAAGCCUACCUUGAGUCUUCCAUUUGUAUCCCUCAGAAGCCCGAAUUAGUGAGAAUCUAGCCAUCAGUAUUAAUCUUAUACCAACCCUCCUCUGGCGGAGACCAACCGAUGUCGAUAAUCUUGGUUGAGGUCUGAGCUGUGGAUGCCCGAAUUGUUAAAAAUUAAAUCAUUUCUGCUUCUCCAAGCUGCAUUGCAGGUAGUAACAAAAUAGGUAGGCCAAGCAUUCCCAUCCUUUCUUUGAGCAGUCCCGCAAAUAUUGUGCUUGAACCAAUCCUGGAAGUUUUGGUUGAAGAACUUGCCUUGUUGACUGCUAUCAACGCUGCUCAUCCAAGUUUCACGGAUAUAGUGACAAUCCCGGAGAACAUGGAGCAGGGUCUCUUCUUGGCCAGGGCACCUGGGACAGCACUCAUUGCUGGUAAGUCCUAUCCUUUUCCUCCUGGAAUUAGUGAGUAAAGCCUCAUGCAUUACUAGCCAUGAAAAAGCUUUAAGACGUUGUGGUAUAUUGAGCUUCCAAACAUCUCUAAAAUUUUUGUCUGUGUUCUCAUUAUUUGUAAAAUAGGCUUCAUAGGCAGAUUUAAUAGUGAAAUCUCCCUUAGGUUCUGGUAGCCAGCUGAUACUGUCUUCUCCUAAAUCAGAAUGAAGGGCUUUUAUAAUCUGGAUUAGCUCUAAAAUCUCCUCCGAAAGGAUUUGAUUUAGUUUGAACCAAUCCCAAUCUCCCUCUGCUCUCGCAUAAGCGGCCACCUUCUCAUCACUCCUAUCCCCGUCAAUGGGACUGAUAGCAAAAUUUUUUAGCGAGCCUAUGCCUGGCACCCAAUGAUCGUUCCAGAAUGAUAUCUUUUCACCAUUUCCAAUUCUCCAGAUGACAUUAGUGCUGAAUUUGUUCUAAAUCUUUGUAAUACCUCUCCAAGCAUUCGAACUACUAGCUUUAGAAAGCACCUUAGAAAUCGACUGAGUUCCACACCCAUAUUUUUCUUUCAUAACUCUGACCCAUAGGGAUUGAUUAUCCUAAAUAAGGCCCCAGGCUAAUUUCAUGAGGAAUAAAGGAUUUGUAUCUUCUGCCUUUUGAAUACCAAGUCCUCCCAUACUCUUCGGCUUGCAAAUAGUAUCCCACCUUAUUAAAUGGAUCUUUUUAUUCGCUUCAGUUUCACCCCAAAGAAAAUCUCUACAAAUCUUGUCUAUUUGAUUGCAAACUUUCUUCGGAAUCUUCAUGGUUUGCAUCACGUAGCUAGGGAUAGAUGAUAAGACUGACUGGAUAAGAGUACACCUUCCUGCAAAAGAGAGCGUCUUCAUGUUCCAGCUAGAGAGUUUAGCCUUCAUUUUGUCGAUGAUGAAUUGAAAAUGUUGCUUGUUGCACUUCUCAUGAAUGAGGGGAACACCAAGGUACUUUCCUAAGUUGCACGUUAGGUUGAUGCCCAAAUGUUGACUGAGUUCCUGCUUGAUGGUGUGAUUUACGUUAUUUGAGAAAAAAACACAAGAUUUUUGAAAAUUAACCCUUUGGUCAGAGCUAUCACAGAAAACCUUAAGUGUUUCUCUUAUGACAUUUACUUGAUCCUUACUAGCUUGUGCAAAUAAGACCAAAUCAUCUGCAAAGCAAAGAUGAGAGAGUUUAGGCCCAUUCCUAGAUAGCAUAAUAGGUUUCCACUUCCUAUCAUUAACUCGAGAGUUAAUAAGGUGGGAAAGUCUCUCAACGCAAAGAACAAAAAGGUAAGGUGAGAGGGGAUCUCCCUGUCUAAUGCCUCUGGAGGGACGAAAUUCUUCUGAUGGAGACCCAUUCCAAAUAAGGUUCAUAGUCGGCGUAGUUAUGCAAUACUCAAUGACAUUAAUCAAGUUCUCUGGUAAAUGAAUAUCCUUGAGGGUAUGUAAGAUGAAAUCCCAAUUGAGUCUAUCGUAUGCUUUCUCUAAGUCAAUUUUGACCGCCAUAAAGCCUUUUCCGCAAUUCUUUGUCCUCAUCGAAUGGAUCACUUCUUGAGCUACUAAAAUAUUAUUUGCACUAACCCUUCCUGGAACAAAACUAGCUUGAAUAUUUGCAAUAAGAAAAGACAUAUGGGGUUUAAGUCUUUCUACAACAAUCUUAGAAAUAAUCUUAUAAACAACAUUGCAGAGACUAAUAGGUCUAAAUUGAGUAAAAUUCUCAGGAGCAGGAGCUUUAGAAAUAAUAGAGAUGAGAGUCUGGUUAACGUUGUUGAUAUUUUUAGGUUCCUGAAAGAUAGACCGAACACAAGUAACCAAAGAAUCUUUUAUAGUGUCCCAAGAAAAUUAGAAGAAUUUAGCUGGAAAUAUAUAAAAAAAGUGUUAAA